CGAUACGUUUUUAUGCUCACAAAAUGUGUC
rnacentral:sRNA from 1 species